UAGGUGAUGGGGAUGAGGCCUUUUAUAUGGGCCUGUUCCCAGACUCAUUGAGUGAAAUGGCCUUGGUUCUGGAGCUGACUUGCACUGCAGGGCACCUGACCUCCAUUUCCUUCAGCUGAGGGUGCAGACUGCACCUCAGAACAUGUGCCCCUGCCCAGCUGCUCCCAGGACACAGGUGUGUUUUGGGAAGCCUUGGGCAUAUGCAAAGGGAGAUGUAUGCAACCAGGGAAGAUGAUUGGAGACUAAUAAAGAAGCAGGUGGAGAAUCUAGGCUGGGCUGAACCAGAGUAGAGGACAUGGGGAAUCCUUGCCGGACUACAAGGGGGAGGAGGUGGGAAUCCAUGGCCCAAAGCUGUGUUUUCAUUCUGAGGUCAAGGGGGUUGUAAUCAGAAAUUUGAGGUUGCCUUUCAGGCAACAGGAAGGACAGAGAUGGUUUCUAAUUAGAGCCUUUGCUCACUUUUUGGAUUAUCUCCAUCACCAAAUUUCUAAGAAUAUCUCACUGCUUUUACGGAAUUUGAUAGAAUUAAGGAUCAUGGUUUUGAAUGAAUGUUUUCUUUCACUUUUAUAGUAUUGAUUUCCCUGGCCCUGACCUGGGCCAGGUGACGUUUGUGAUCAUUUCUGCCCUUUCAGCAGUUCAAAUCACAGGAAUUUUUUUGUAAACUUACUUAUUUUAUUGUAAUACAUCAACGUCUGGUUAAUAUUAAGUGAUUCACAGGAGUUUUUCUUUUCCUGGAAGCUGAAAUGGAAAGUCAACCCUAAUAAAUUAACACACACACUCUGGCCUUACA